AUGUUUCCAGGCUACGGCAAUCCAGCUGUCCACGAGAGGGAUCAGAAAAAAUGGGCCCUCAUCCGCAAUGUCAACCAAGUUCUGAAAGCCACUACACUCCUAUCGGGAGAUUAUGUAUGGAUGGACCUGAAGACCGGGCGGGAAUUUGAUGUUCCCAUCGGAGCAGUGGUCAAGCUGUGUGAUUCUGGGCAGAUCCAGGUUCUAGAUGAUGAAGGAAAUGUAUGUAAGAUGGAAGUGGAAAUCGACAGUCUUAUUCUGGCUGUGUCUUCCUCCUAGGUCUGCCGUGAGAGAUCUCCAUUUCGUAUUGAGGAACACGAGUGCUUAAGCAGACUCCAUUUGCAACCGGAUGUUCAGCUAAUAUUACCGUAUUUUUCACGCUAUAAGACACACCAGACCACAAGACACACCUAGUGUUUGGAGGAGGAAAACAAGAAAAAAAUAUACUCUGAAUCUCAGAAGCCAGAACAGCAAGAGGGAUCACUGCGCAGUGAAAGCAGCAAUCCCUCUUGCUGUUCUGGCUUCUGGGAUAGCUGCGCAGCCUGCAUUCGCUCCAUAAGACGCACACACAUUUCCCCUUACUUUUUAGGAGGGAAAAAGUGAGUCUUAUAGAGCAAAAAAUAUGGUAUUUUAUUAAAUCCACUUGCAAAUUGCUUCCCUGCCAUCUUUAAGUGUUCUGUUGGAAGUGCAACAGCAGGGAUCAUUCAGUUUGUAACUUGAGGGUUAAUUCUGUUCUCAGUCAAUUACCCAGUACCGUGUGUGUGUGUGUGUGUGUGUGUGUGUUGGAAAUGUUGCUUAACAACCGGGCAUGAAGAUUACAGAGGCGGCAUUUUUUCAUCUCCGCCAAGCUAAGUAGUUGGCUCCUUACCUCUCUCACCCUGACCUAGCAACUGUGAUCCACACGGCAGUCACCUCCAGACUGGAUUAUUGUAACUCGCUCUAUGUGGGGCUGCCCUUGAGACUGACCCAGAAACUCCAGCGGGUGCAGAAUGCCGCAACGAGACUCCUCACGGGGUCCUCGCUGUGGGAUCACAUUCACCCGGUGCUAUACCAGCUGCACUGGCUCCCGGUGGAGUACAGGAUCAGGUUUAAGGUGCUGGUUUAAACCUUUAAAGCCCUAUACUGCCUAGGACCCUCGUACCUACGGGACCCCCUCUCCUGGUAUGUCCCACGGAGGACCUUAUGGUCUUCAAACAAAAACAUUUUGGAGGUCCCGGGCCACAGAGAGGUUAGGCUGGCCUCAACCAGAGCCAGGGCUUUUUCGGCUGUGGCUCCGAUCUGGUAGAACGCUCUGUCACAAGAGACUAGGGCCCUGUGGGACUUGACAUCUUUCCGCAGGGCCUGCAAGACAGAGCUGCUCCACCAGGCCUUGGGCUAAGGCACAGCCUGACCCCCUCCUUUGGUAAUUCUUCACAGAACUCUAGCUCAAUGGUUGCCAUCAAUUUGAGUUGAACUGAUUUUAUAAUGAAUUGAUUUUAGAAUGCUGUAUUAUUUUACUGUUGUUAGCCGCUCUGAGCCCAGCUUUGGCUGGGGAGGGCGGGAUAUAAAUAAAUUAUUAUUAUUAUUAUUAGCAAGUGCUCCAAUUGGCUGUGCAAUUGCAAGGAAGCUUCUCCUCCGCUUCUUUAGCAAAACACCUUCCUCCUCAAAUUAUACGCUCUUUUUGUUCACUUUGCUCAGUAAAGUGUCGCCAGGGCAUUCCUCCCUGGGCUCGGCUUGCGUGAUCUAACUGGCCCCGCAAACCUCUGCAAAUGCUGUUACACCUGAUCACGCUGUCAGCUUUUUCUUGUCUCUUUCUAACUGCCGGCACACUGUGCUCUUCCCCCUGCCCUUUUGCAGGAGCACUGGAUAUCCCCCCAGA
ensembl:lncRNA